UGGGGAAUAUUGGACAAUGGGCGCAAGCCUGAUCCAGCCAUGCCGCGUGAGUGAUGAAGGCCCUAGGGUUGUAAAGCUCUUUCACCGGUGAAGAUAAUGACGGUAACCGGAGAAGAAGCCCCGGCUAACUUCGUGCCAGCAGCCGCGGUAAUACGAAGGGGGCUAGCGUUGUUCGGAAUUACUGGGCGUAAAGCGCACGUAGGCGGACAUUUAAGUCAGGGGUGAAAUCCCAGAGCUCAACUCUGGAACUGCCUUUGAUACUGGGUGUCUUGAGUAUGGAAGAGGUAAGAGGAAUUCCGAGUGUAGAGGUGAAAUUCGUAGAUAUUCGGAGGAACACCAGUGGCGAAGGCGGCUUACUGGUCCAUUACUGACGCUGAGGUGCGAAAGCGUGGGGAGCAAACAGG
rnacentral:rRNA from 1 species